AGAACAUUCGCGAUAUGAACUUAACCACAGGGGUGGUGGAGCCGCGCAGUGGGAGGUUAUAAGAGGAAGAGCUCAUCCGUAGAACUAUAUUUUUCACAUUCUGUGGUUUUCAAUUGUACAGGCCUUACUUUCUGGCUGAUCUGCAUCUUUGAAUUCUAGUUUCAUAUGAUAGUUUGAUUGAAAUAACUGAAUAAAACUUGAAUCAGUUUGAUUCAGCCGGAAGCCGG
rnacentral:lncRNA from 1 species